GCAAACAGUACUUGCAGCAAUGCCUGAUUCAUUGCACUACCUGCGCACAUAGGGAAGGGCAGUGUUUCUGGAAUAAGAAUGAUCCAAUGCAUGAGCUGAGCAGCUACUUCUAAGACACACAGGCAGUCUUCUUCCUCCAGCUGCCUGUUCCUUACCAUGGUGGGCCUACGCUGGGACAGCAAGCGCCUUGUUCUCCUGGAGAAUGAGCUGGGACCUCUGGGAGCUCCAAGAAAGAGCUUCAUAAAGAGCAGCUAAUACUCUCUCCUACCCUACUGUGGUUUCACCGAGUGUCCUAUGAAGUAGCACGGUCCUCGUGUGAAAUAUCUUGGCCCACUUUUUUCCAUGUUGGCAGUGCCUGGAACUGACACAACCCAUGCUGAGCAUCCUGCAGUAUCACCACCAUGAUUCAAACACGUGAGUGAAUUCAUCCAAUUCCCUUGCAUGCUAAAGUAAAUCCUGCACUUGAGACAACUCCUGGGGGAAGGACUGUUUGCCAAAGGAUCUUGCAGACCAAAUAAAAUCAAUGGGUUGAUAAGGAAAAUGGAAGGGUUUAAUUUUUGAGAGAGUGUUUUUUAAACAUAUUUAUCCCAGUGCAUGUGACUGAAACCUGAAGGUGCAUCAUGAUGACAAUAGAAAAAUCCUUAAAACUGCAAAUUUUGGCACCAUGUUUUCAUAAGAUCCCUUCUACCAUCACCAAGAAUUAUGUGACAGGCACUCUGGAGGAGAGAUUUACAACUUUCUAUUCAAGCCCCCUGGCCAUCAAUCUAAAGAAUCAAUUCCUGCUACUUCCAAACAGCAAUGCAACCGAAGACAGGCCAAAUACACAUCUUUAAAAAUACAAUCACAAAGUCAGAGUGUACAGAAGGUACCUCUGUUACAUAGUUAUGAAACCAGGAAGCCACAUCCAUCUUUACCAACAUGUUUUGCCUUUGCUGAUGCUGUUUUGAAACAACACAAGGACUGCAAGAUGAUUUUCUUACUGAGUAGCACCAUACUUUGAGUAAUACAUUACUAGUGGGACUCCCCUGAUGAUGUAUUACACUAAUGCAUCAUUAGGAUGAUGUUUUGCACUGAUGAUAUAUUACAGUGCAACAUAAUGAGAGCAAUAGCUCACUGGGUGCAUAAUCCUGCCAGGAGCUGUGCGCCUGCAGCUCUCUGACUUCAUUUGCAGUUCGGGGUGUCCAAGGCUGAGAUGGAUUAGAUCUUCAGAUACACACAGCAUAAAGGAUGGCAUGGUCAGAGAAACACCAACACACAGGUGAGUGCCGUUAAUUGCAGAAUACAACUUACAGUGUGCUAAUAUCAAGAUUCACUUUGGCAUCGCACUUUUACACCUGUGCAAAACAUCUUCAGACUAGGAGAAGCUGCUGCAGGGAGGGUUGCUGAGGUCACUUAUCUUUAUGCUUGCCUGCAGCAGCCAUGCUAGGAGGCUGUUUGGUAUGAUAAAAUAUUUGGCUCAAGUUUUCCAUGCCAAAUGUCUGUUCCAAGGAGGGUGAAGCUGGGGGAAGAGGCUAGCCCUUUGUUUUUAGUCAGUAACUUCAAUGAAAUCAGUUUCAUUCAGCUGUUUCUAUGAACCAGACUCAGAAAACAAAACAAAACAAAACAAAACAGGUAGUUUCACCACAAAGGAAAGAUUCUAGUGAGGUUUUUUUUUCUGACCUUUUUUAAAAAACAGAGCUAUUUGAUCUGUAUGAAAUUUGAAAAGAUCUCCACACUGUGAUCAAUGUCACUGACAAGAGGGCAACAUUUAAAGAGUUGUGAACUAUUCACUGUUAAGCCAUAGAUGAUGUUCAAAGAGAGGGUAAGCUGAUAUAUAAACAAGGAACAAACAAGCCAGUUUAGUUAACGGAAGAACUCCUCCUUGAGUCUCUUGCAAAACCAUUAACAUUUACAACUGAAGCACAAUUUCAUUACUAUUUAGUUUUCAUUUCAGUAUCUUCGGGGUACUUCUUGACCAAGGGGCCAUGAGCACACACACAAAAAUAUCAGAUAUCCUGCCUGCAAUCUCCAAAUUGGUGGACUUAUUCAGUUCUGAGAAACAGCAGUAUUUUAGACAACUGCUGAAUGUGCUCUGCAGGUUUGGCUCCCAGGUUCUCCUCAAUAACAACCAUCCAUGAUGGACAGCCCAGACUCUCUGGGGAACAUAAGCUUAUCUGCUCAUAAACUCAGAAAAAAAACUGGCUUUCAUAACUUUCUCCUGACAACUGUAAUUGAGAAACCACAGGAUAUUUAAUGAAUCAGAGUGAGUACGGCCAUCCCAACUAUCUAAAUGAUGAGUUAAUAUAUCCAAUCUUUUUCUUCAUGUGCAGCCUUUCAGACCGCCUGAGCUACACAGCUCUGUUUCGUAGAUGCUAUCUCCAGCCAGUUAACAAACAGGUUGAGAAAAGAGAUCUGAUCUUUCCAGUUCUCAUCUUUUACCCAGUCCCACAGCGCAUUUGCACCAGCAAAGAAAAGCACAGUUUUAGAAGACUAUUUCUCAUCAGCCUCCCAGCUUUGUUUAACCUCCAACACAUACUGGGAUAAAUGAAUUUAUGUGAACAAGAUUAUGCCAGACGAGAAUCAUAAUGCCUUGGAGAGUGGCAUGAGCCUACUCAUCGGGGCAGAGGGAUGAGAAGACGGCACGCUCUGCAUGACCAAUGCAGCAAGGAGGGAAUAGCACAGCCCACACAAAGGAGGCAGCUAUGCUGUCCCAGAGCCUGGGGUUGGCAGUGAAAACUCAGCCCUUAAGGAAGCUGGAAAAAAUAGAAAAGAAAAAAAAAAAAACAGAAUGGAUUCAUGCAUUUCCUCCACAAUGCGCCCAUGUAAGGGCCAACCACAUUCUGGCCAUAAAUUCUCUGGCACAGGAGCAUUAUACCAACUGAAAGGAAUGUCUUUCCAUCUGUGUAUUUCCCCUAAGGCGCUCACUUGAUAAUGAAACCAGUUAAGGUCUUUGGGUUCACAAUGUUAUUAUAGUCGGAUAAUAUUUUGUUUGCAGCAGAGCCUGAAGAACUCCUAAGUAGCAUAUUACAGGCACUAUACACCUGUUAAGUCAUGGCGUUUCUUCUGUAAGUGGACAAAUCUGUUUUAGCCAUCUCCAGAGAUUUUCCGCUCACAGUUAAUUAUGAAGCGCUGACUGUACUCAUUUCCUGAUCUUAAAGGGAAUCUAUAACAAAUUUAUGCCACAGGUGAAGCCUGUUCCCUCUGUCCCUCAGAAAUACCAGCAAUUCUCCUAGAGGCAUUGACUGCUUUCCUUCACCCCUUUCCCCUGCUCUCCUGGUGCCUGUGCUCCAACAAAAAACAGGCUUAGAAAAUUGGAAAAAAGGUGCAUGCUUCUAAGCAGCUGACCAAGCUCAAUGUUUUAGAAAAUAAGUUAUUAAAAACACAUUUGAACAUGCACACACACAAACAAAAUGGCACAGGCGGCCAGUCAAAGGUCGUUCUAAAGAGACCCGUGGUGGACAUCCACAGGAUGGACCUGGUUCGCUGCAGCCCCAGUUGCUCUGCAGUCAGUGAUGCCCAUAGGAAGAGCAAUCCAGCACAGCAGUGGGGUUUUCUUCACUCUCUGUGCAUGCAUGCAUUGCUACAAGUGUCCAUGUGCUUCUGAACAAUGUGGGGAAUAAUUCUGUUUAAAGAGAUCAAUUUGUUUAGUUCUAAACUCAUGAAAACCACGUUCAUCCUAAGAUAAAUAUCAUACUACAUAGUCUUGAUCAAAACCAUAAUUGUUCCUUGUACAGUACAAGAUAUUCUGAAAUGAGGUCAGGUAAGAUAAGCAUUCUGGGGAAAAAGAUAAGGAAAAGUAGUCCAUCCUAAGAAAAAAGGGCACUUUGUUCUGACAGACACCAUUCUUCAUGCUUCUUCAAACAGGGUAGUGUCUGAUCCCAGGCACACAUACUUGGACACAAGUCUACCUGACCUCAGAGAUAGAUGCUAGAUCAAUGGUUCCCAACUUUCUGGACCAACAGACAAUUGACAAGGAUCAGCAUUUUUCUCAAAUCAUCACACACGUUCACCAUCAACCUUUUGCUUAGAAAAUCGUUAAAGGUGACGUGACUCGGCAAGACUGGCUGUGCCUUCUUCCCUGCUGCCCUUGGAGGAAGACCAGUGCUCUGAGGGCCUCAGCUGGUGCCAUGUCAGAUAACUUAGGAGAUUAAUUCAGUAACCAGCUCACACAUUUACAAGCUCUUUUACAUGCAGGCAAAAGCUACUUCCUGUGUAAUCAUCAAGGCUCAGCCUCCUUCCCUGCCUGACCUCCCCUUCUCUUCGCUAUCAAAAAUGAGCCUUACCCCCCUAGUGAAGGCUUCUGCAUCCCUCUCACCAAAGACAUCACCUUACCGAAGGUGCCAUCCUUCUACAUUGAAGAUAAACAUGAAGCAAUUCCUCUAGUACUGAAAGAGGGAGCAGAGAAGUCUUCUGCAAUUAUAUGUACAGUUGUAUGUAUGCUUUUGUUUUGGAGGAAAGCAGAGAAACACCAAAGAAAUCAAUUAAAAAAGAAAAAGGGAGACAAAUGGACUUAGACCUGAAGCUAUAAGAAGCAGACUUUGGAUGCUGAAUUCCUUGUGUGAUUGAUUAUUAUUGUAUAGCUCUUUGCCCACCUCAAACAAGAGAUCUGUCUGCAAAGUACACUUUUCUUCCAAACAGAAGAAACCUGCUAGACCCCAAGAUGCGUUCACGGAAUCUAACCAGACAUUAAUGCCAGAGACACUAAUAUCAGGGAGUCACUACAGAAGCAGAACUUCAGGAGAACAGUUUUAACAUUAUUUAGACCUUCUUAAACUUUCUGUUCCCAAAGAAAGCAGGGACAUGCAUUACUUAUCUUUUCCUUGCUUUCAUACUGGGACUACAGCAGUGGAGACUUCUGGGCAUCAAAAGAAGUAUCAUGGCCCAGAAAUGAUUAAAAGCUGAGUAGUAAGCGGCAACUUAGGGAGAAAAGAAAUGCACAUAUCUCACACUUUGAAGUGCAAAUAGACUUUCUCUGUACAUCUGAUGACCCUCGCAAAUUUUGGCUUGUCCACUGUGUAUUUUCAUCACUGUUAGAAACAUAACAACACAGUUGUAGAGUGCUCCACAAUUUUGACAGAGGUUUGGCAGAAGCCCAUUUUAAACUGCCAUUAAGAGUGACUUUUCCUAUAUUUGCACUGUUGAUGGACUGCUCCAUUUAGACUUUUACCUUUGCUAUAGAACACUUCAGCUACGUCUUGGACAGCAAAUUACAAAUUAUUUGGUUACUGGAAAAAAAGGUGAAAUUGGAGUAUUUCCCAUACAAUAUUUCAGUACUUGUGGAGUUCAACAAAAUGGCACAUUUUUUGUGACUUGUGCUGUAUAUUUUAAUUUACUUUCCCAAACAUAGCAAUGAUUCACAUUUUUUACUGUAAACAAAUAUGAUUACCUAUUUGCAAAAUCAAAGAUACUGCAGUAUGUUUCCACCAAGUUUUGUCCAAGUAACUACAUAUUAAAAUGGCAGACAUCCCUUCAAAUAACAUCCUGGCAGAGCUUGCUUCUUCUGCAAGUAAUAAAAGUGGAGGAGAGCAGAUCGUGCUCCAAGAUGCUUGGCUACAGCGGUAUGAGACAGUUGAUGUGUUCCAAAUGUCUGUCAGAUUACUUAGCAAAACCAACCACUGUUAAUCAAUAGUGAAAUCUUUUUCUUUGUGGCUUAGCUAUAUUUCUGUUUUUGUUAAACAGAAGAAAAUUGCCAAUUAAGUGGACUCUGCUAGACCGUGCAGCUAGGGGAAACACACUGUCAAACUGACUGGCUUAGUUAAGAGUUAAGAGGACACAGUUCAAUUGCAGUUCAGUUACAAUACUUAAUCGAUCACCGACUGCCCAUGUGGGUUUUGUGAAGCAAGCUGCAGCAUCUUACUCUUGCUCUUUACAAAAAUCACGUCAGCCUCCACAGUCUGCCCUGGUUUUAAGCAUUCAAUCAUUUCUUUAAAAAGCACCAAGCCCAGAUUUGCAUUCUAGGAUGUGAGCCUUCCUUCACCUCAAUCGUUUGGCUCAGAAGUCGCAUCCUUUUCCCUUACUCUUCGUGCGUCUGUCUUAUUUUUUUUUAUUCCAAACUACUUGGAACAGAGAUCGUAUCUCCCUCUUUGUUUGGAAACUCUCUAGCAGUUUGUGUACUGCAGCAGUAUAAUAAAUAAAAAGUAAUAAAAAUGUUAGGAAAGUCCUUAGAAAAGUCCAUGUUAUUUUUACAAUUACUCAUGCUGUCGCUAUUUAAGAAACAAUGCCAGGAAGAUCUAGAAGGGGACUUAAAACAGUUUCUGCGAGAAUAUGCAAUCAAAAUGAUGAUGUUACCAACAGCAAAAUGCUUUGCAAGGUGUACAGCUUCUCAUGCUGCUUUUUCAAGUGCUUCUAACAGAUGUUCAAUUUCAAGUGGUCUGCAGAUACCAAUAGGCUUAUAGUUCUGCAUGAAUCGGAGCAGCAGAUGUGCCCUGCAUUAUGUUUUGCUAUUCCCUUUAUGAAUUGAUAUGUCACCUCGUGGGUUUAUAGCUAGUUAAUUUUGCAAUGACAUCACUAUUUCUGUACUUGUAAUGAUUCUCACAGGAUUUAAUUUCUCAAAUAACAGAACUCUUGAUCCUUGAAUUGCUAUGUGAAAGCAAUAUAUAAUAAACAGAUUUGUUUACAUGA